ACAGUACUUCAUAUCAGGGUAGGAAUUUCACUUUAUUCUGAACGUGUUAGUUUUGACCCUCUUCACCCUGAAAUUUUCACUAUCAAAUAUUUUGGAAGGCAGGUCUUUUUUCCUCAUUUAACAUUUAUUUAAUACACAGAGAAUAAUACUGAGGGUCUGGGAUUCCAGUUUUGAAAUGAAACAUGGACUCUGAGUGACCCUUGUCCUUGUCAAAGUGCACUGGUCUAGAUAGCGGCAUUUGGACCCCAUAGUGUGGCACCUGUUUCUGUGUACAUUUGCAUAUUCUGAUGACCUGUUGCUGAGGUCACGUGAUGAUGUAUAGCCUGUCUUCAUCCCAACUGACAAUGUGUUUCAACUGUCACCUAGACUACUAGUCAAGAUGGGAGGCCUCUGUUCCUGCCUUGGAGAAUGUUGCCUCAAAAGGCAGAAGAGGUUUCUCCAAGAUUUCAGCAAAAAUGGCCAAAGGAAAAAUAUGCCCCCUGACCAUUUCAUCAUCCUAGCAUCACCAGUUUGCCACCUGAAGGUACUGUGGAAACUCAGUUACUCACUCAUGCAAGCAUAAGGAUUCCAGAUUCUUCAGUGUCCCACACUGCAGACAACUCUACAACUGCUGCACUUUAUUCCUCUUUAUUUCAGGUGUUCAAAUUGAAAUGUAUCAAGUCAAUCACUAGUGCUACAAAUGCAGAAGUGAAGAUGUAUUUCCACUUCCAGCUUGGUUCGCUUUUAAUAGUAAAGAACAUCUCAAUGCAAGGUUUAGAUAUUUAGCUGAUUGUUAGACAGUAGCUAAAAUGGAACUCUUCCUGAGAUAGUGUGGCCCCAUUUUCAAACAAAUGGACAUCAUGUGAAACUUGUAAAUGAACAUAAAAAUUGAAGUACUACAGAAAAUUCCCAGACACCCUCCCCACUCAGUACCCUUUCUGUGAUCACAGCUUACACGAAUGUGGUGCAUUUGUUACAGUGGCUGAACCGAUAGUGAUAUCUUCUUAUUAGUGAAAGUCUGGAGUUCACAUUAAGGCUCACCCUGUGUUGUGCAGCCUGUGCAUUUUGACAAACUCAUGUCAUUCAUCACCCAGACAGAAGAGUUUUGCACCCAAAACAUGACCUGUGCUGCACCUCUUAAUCCCUUUCCUCUAUUCUCAGGACCCCUGACUGCUAUAGAUCAUUUAUUUUACUGCCUGUAUACAUUUUUCCCCAAAUUUUAUAGCAUUGGAAUCAUAAAGCAUGCAGCCACUUAGGACUAACUGAUUUCACUUCACAAUAUACAUGCAAGAUUUUUCAUGUCUUUUAGUAGCUUAAUGGCUUACUCAUUUUUACCAGUGGGUCACAUUCCCUUGGGUCCAUGUAAUGGUGUGGGUUGGUGCACGCACCUCCUGAAGAGCAUCUCAGCUGCUUCCAGUUCAGGUGACUAUGAAUACACGUGCCCUCAUUCUUGUGUGGAUUUUGUAAUGGGCAUAAUUUUAAAAUUUAAUGGGGUAAAUGUUUACAAUUUUAAUCGGUUGUUUAUAUAAUAAGACUAUGUUUUCCUUUGUAAGAAUUAGGUAGAAUUCAGUAAAGUCACAUGGGUAUUUUUUUAAAGUUUUUAUUGAUUCAACUUCUAUAUUAUAAUAGAUGUAAGCCUACUCAGAUUAUCAGAGUCUUCUUUGGGUAGUUAUGAUAUAGUUUCUGCCCUUCUGUCAUUUUCAUCUAGGCUGUCAAAUCUGUGAGCGUAGAUUUGUUCUAAGUAUUCUUUAUUAUCUGCUUGAUAUUAAUGGGAUCAGCAGGAAUCAUUCCUCUUUUUAUUUAUAUUUUUUGCAAAUUGUGUCUUCUAGCUUUCCUUGUGGUGAGCCUGGCUGGAAGAUUAUCAGUUCUAUUUAUUUUUCCUAUGAAGCAGCUCUUGGUUCUGUUUCGUUCUGUUUAUUAUUUCUAUUAUAAUGAUUUCUGCAAUUUUUUAAUUCUAUUUUUAUUUCUAUAGUUUUUUGUCUCUAGUUUCCUAAGGUGGAAGGUAAGAAAACUGAAUUAAGAUUGUUUUUAGUUUUUUUUUUUUUUCUUUUCUUGUUUCUUGUAUCUUUUUCUCUUUAAGACUGAGUCUUGCUGUCUCCAAGGUUGGAGUGCAGUGGCAUGAUCUCAGCUCAAUGCAAUGUCUGCCUCCCAAGUUCAAGUGAUUCUCCUGUCUCAUCCUCCCGAGAAGCUGGGAUUACAGGUGACUGCAACAUGGCCUGGCUAAUUUUUGUACUUUUAGUAGAGAUGGGUUUUCACCAUGUUGGUCAGGGUUGUCUUAAACUCCUGAUCUCAGGUGAUUCACCCACCUUGGCCUCCCAAAGGGCUGGGAAAACAGACAUGAGCCACCGUGCCCAGCCUGUUGUUAGUUUUCUACACAGCAUUGUGAACUAAUGCCACUAAAGUGUGCAUUUAACAAUUAAUAUAUAUUCUGUAUUUUUCACCACAAUGAUUUAGAUGAUAAGUGCAAAAGGAGCAUAUAUAGAUUCAGGAACGUUAAACAUUGUAACUUUUUUUCUAAAGAAGAUACUUACCAGACCAGGCCUCUUUCUGUGAGGAGACCAUGUCCUGGAGUCAUGCUGUGCACUUGUGUGCUGCCUAUGUGAACACUGCCUACUUCACAGUGAUGAGGGUGGCUUAACCAGAGACCCCAGGCUCUGUCCCCCAGCACUCUCCUGAUGGUGUACUUUGCCUUCCUUCACCACCAAGGAGGGUGGCCCAGCAGCAGCUCAGCCCCUGCUCCUACCCCACCUCCUCUGCACAUGCCAGCCCUGUGUCCUCAGCACCCAGGGCUGCCAGCGGGCCUUCAGCAGCUCCCAUGGCUGACAGUGACUCUAUGCUUCCUAGAAUACCCAGUACACUGGAAGAAGUUCAGUCCUCAAAAUUGCUAGCAACGUAUCAAGUCUUGUCACUCCGUAAGUCUUCUUUCUUUGUCUGAGAUGGGAAUUUUUUUCUUUUGUUUUUUUUAUUUUGAAUUAAGAUAUACAAAUUCUACCAUGAACAUUAUAGAUGAGUCACAGAAUUUCCUGGUGGACAAAGGUAUGUGAGUGUCCAUUACCAAAUUGGAACUUGUUCCAGAUGGCACUCAGAGAGGACAGCUUCACUGAGGACAAACUGGAUGGCAGAGAGCAAUUUUUUCAGGAGAAAUGCAUUCUUCUGGAAUAUAGCUGUGACUUUGCAACAAAAUCAUUUUGCAAAUCUUAUGCAAAACUCUGUGCCUUUCCACAAGUGUCCAUUAGGCUUUAUUUGGGGGGCCAUUACCUUGAGAACUAUUUCCCAACUGGUUUUCUAAUGUCACCAAGUGAAGAAAAGACCCAUAACACACGGGACACAGCAUGGUCUGAGGCUCACAGUGUUUUCCUGUCUCUGCACACAGAAUCAGCUAUUCAGGAGUAUGGUACAUACUAUAGCAUCACCCCUUUGCUAAGGAAAAAUUUUAGCAUUGAGAAAGGUAACACUUUCCUCCCUGCUUUUGCUGGAAAGCCACAACAAUAUAAGCUUCCUGCAGAAAAUGAAGUUUGGGCGGUUUGGUGUAAAAAAAAAAAAAUUUAGUCAACAACUGUGGCCAUCCACUCUAGUUCUCAGAAGCCGUGAUGUCGUUAAAAUAGGAACAGGGGUGCAUCAGGGUGGGGAGGCAUGGAGGAGAGAGUCUGUGUGGAAUGAUGGUGAAUGUCUUUGGGAGUGUGUGUGCCUUUCUCUAGAAAGCGUGUUCCCCUGUGCAAAGCACAACCCAAGGUUUGGUGUUCUAGAAACCAAAUUCCAUCCCCACUGCACACUUCAUAUCAGUCAACACUUUCAUCCUUCACCACAGCUGUACCGGAAGAGUAGUUUAAUAUCCUCAGUCCUCAGAUUGGAGAGAGUGGAAAGAUGAAUUUCCCAAGCUCUUCAUUUCCUGAAUGGAAAAGGCAAAUGUGAACUGAGGAGUGGGUGGAAAGAUGACAUGAUGGGCUGCUACUCUGCAGUCUUAAAAGGUAGCUAUUCUGCUACCUUAAAAAUGGUGAGUGAAUAAAUAGAAUAUUUUGGUUAGAAUUCAUUCUUCUCUCUAAAGAAAAGUUGCUGGCCAGGAGCUGCACCUCACACCUGUAAUCCCAGCACUUUGGGAGGCCGAGGCAGGCAGAUCACGAGGUCAAGAGAUCGAGACCAUCCUGGCCAACAUGGUGAAGCCCUGUCUCUACUAAAAAAUACAAAAAUUAGCUGGGCAUGGUGGCACACACCUAUAGUCCCAGGCACUCAGGGCUGCCAGAGGGCCUUCAGCAGCUCCCAUGGCUGACAGUGACUCUAUGUUUCCUAGAUUUCAACAUUAACCUGUCAGGAACGGUGUCCAGUGAGAUGCCCCCAGAAGCUGCUGUAUCUCUUCAUAGGGCCUCGCCUUCAGUUCCAGCGGCCACUCUACUAACUGCCAUUUCACACUGUACUGGCCAGGAGACUACUGGUGAA